CGUAGGGAGCAAGCGUUGUUCGGAUUUACUGGGCGUAAAGGGCGCGUAGGCGGCGCGGUAAGUCACUUGUGAAAUCUCUGAGCUUAACUCAGAACGGCCAAGUGAUACUGCAGUGCUAGAGUGCAGAAAGGGCAAUCGGAAUUCUUGGUGUAGCGGUGAAAUGCGUAGAUAUCAAGAGGAACACCUGAGGCGAAGGCGGGUUGCUAGGCUGACACUGACGCUGAGGCGCGAAAGCCAGGGGAGCAAACGGGAUUAGAUACCCCGGUGGUCCUGGCCCUAAACGAUGAAUACUUGGUGUCUGGAGUUCUAAUACUCCGGGUGCCGUCGCUAACGUUUUUAGUAUUCCGCCUGGGGAGUACGCUCGCAAGAGUG
rnacentral:rRNA from 1 species